rnacentral:rRNA from 1 species
UGGGGAAUAUUGGACAAUGGGCGAAAGCCUGAUCCAGCAAUGCCGCGUGAGUGAUGAAGGCCUUAGGGUCGUAAAGCUCUUUUACCCGGGAUGAUAAUGACAGUACCGGGAGAAUAAGCUCCGGCUAACUCCGUGCCAGCAGCCGCGGUAAUACGGAGGGAGCUAGCGUUGUUCGGAAUUACUGGGCGUAAAGCGUACGUAGGCGGUUAUUCAAGUCAGAGGUGAAAGCCCGGGGCUCAACCCCGGAACUGCCUUUGAAACUAGAUAGCUAGAAUCUUGGAGAGGUCAGUGGAAUUCCGAGUGUAGAGGUGAAAUUCGUAGAUAUUCGGAAGAACACCAGUGGCGAAGGCGACUGACUGGACAAGUAUUGACGCUGAGGUACGAAAGCGUGGGGAGCAAACAGGAUUAGAUACCCCCGUAGUCCCUGAGCGGGCUGGCAAGGCGCAU